AGAGUUUGAUCCGGGCUCAGAUUGAACGCUGGCGGCAUGCCUUACACAUGCAAGUCGAACGGCAGCACGGGAGCAAUCCUGGUGGCGAGUGGCGAACGGGUGAGUAAUAUAUCGGAACGUGCCCAGUAGUGGGGGAUAGCCCGGCGAAAGCCGGAUUAAUACCGCAUACGACCUGAGGGUGAAAGCGGGGGAUCGCAAGACCUCGCGCUAUUGGAGCGGCCGAUAUCAGAUUAGCUAGUUGGUGGGGUAAAGGCCUUCCAAGGCUACGAUCUGUAGUUGGUCUGAGAGGACGACCAGCCACACUGGGACUGAGACACGGCCCAGACUCCUACGGGAGGCAGCAGUGGGGAAUUUUGGACAAUGGGCGCAAGCCUGAUCCAGCAAUGCCGCGUGCAGGAAGAAGGCCUUCGGGUUGUAAACUGCUUUUGUCAGGGAAGAAAUCUUCUGGGCUAAUACCCCGGGAGGAUGACGGUACCUGAAGAAUAAGCACCGGCUAACUACGUGCCAGCAGCCGCGGUAAUACGUAGGGUGCGAGCGUUAAUCGGAAUUACUGGGCGUAAAGCGUGCGCAGGCGGCUUUGCAAGACAGAUGUGAAAUCCCCGGGCUCAACCUGGGAACUGCAUUUGUGACUGCAAGCUAGAGUACGGCAGAGGGGGAUGGAAUUCCGCGUGUAGCAGUGAAAUGCGUAGAUAUGCGGAGGAACACCAAUGGCGAAGCAUCCCCUGGCCUGUACUGACGCUCAUGCACGAAGCGUGGGGAGCAAACAGGAUAGAUACCCUGGUAGUCACGCCCUAAACGAUGUCA
rnacentral:rRNA from 1 species